rnacentral:rRNA from 1 species
GUCCACGCCCUAAACGAUGUCUACUAGUUGUCGGGUCUUAAUUGACUUGGUAACGCAGCUAACGCGUGAAGUAGACCGCCUGGGGAGUACGGUCGCAAGAUUAAAACUCAAAAGGAAUUGACGGGGACCCGCACAAGCGGUGGAUGAUGUGGAUUAAUUCGAUGCAACGCGAAAACCUUACCUACCCUUGACAUGGCUGGAAUCCCUUAGAGAUUGGGUAGUGCUCGAAAGAGAACCAGUACACAGGUGCUGCAUGGCUGUCGU